UACGUAGGGUGCGAGCGUUGUCCGGAAUUAUUGGCGUAAAGAGCUUGUAGGCGGUUUGUCGCGUCUGCUGUGAAAAUCCGGGGCUCAACCCCGGACUUGCAGUGGGUACGGCAGACUAGAGUGUGGUAGGGGAGACUGGAAUUCCUGGUGUAGCGGUGAAAUGCGCAGAUAUCAGGAGGAACACCGAUGGCGAAGGCAGGUCUCUGGGCCACUACUGACGCUGAGAAGCGAAAGCGUGGGGGAGC
rnacentral:rRNA from 1 species